rnacentral:rRNA from 1 species
UUCAAUACUGUCCCGCAAGGCUCACAGDGUGCACUUUUCUCUUAGUAAGACGUCGUGAUCCAUUAGAAAUUGAUACAUUCAAAAUGUAUAUUGGGUCAUCAAUAGGCCGGCGUGAAGUUUAUUCGGAACAAAUGGCGUGAUCUUUUACGGUUGCGUAUAUUGUCUGGUAAGCGCGCUGAUACCUGUAAUGACUGUCUGAUGGAUUUUAUGGAUGAUAUUAUUAAUGUUAAGGCAUUACCUUUUCGGAGGUUGAUAUCUAUCUGAUCAACGGCGGDDAAAUUUGGGAUACCUUUUGGACCCGUCUUGAAACACGGACCAAGGAGUCUAUCUAGUAUGCGAGUAAAUGGAUAUGUUGAAAUCUAUUUGCGUAAUAAACUUGACUGUGUUAUGGGACUACGAUUUAUGAUCUUUACGGACAUUUAUCUUCAAUCCCGGGGUAUUUUUAUCAACAUAUGCUUGCAUAUGGAAAAUAUACCAUGAGCAUACUGGAUACGACCCGAAAGAUGGUGAACUAUGCCUGAUCAGGUCGAAGUCAGGGGAAACCCUGAUGGAGGACCGAAGCAGUUCUGACGUGCAAAUCG